AACUCUUACGAAACUCCAAGAGGAAGCCAGGACAAGGAUUAUGGCCUCCUUUUACUGAUGAGGAAAUAAAUAGAGGCCCAGAGAACCAGGGGGCUGGCUGGAAACAAAGUGAGGACAGUCAGAGGCCCGGGAGCCUGCUUCUCCUUCACUCCAUCCUCUCCCAGGUGGGGGCUCAAUGAGGGGGAGGGGCUGCUUCCUUUCCUCCUCUGUGCCCUCCCAGAUUUCCCAGAGUGCACCUGUGGCCUUUGGCCCCCACCCCCACCGAAGAGCCUGUGGGGGCCGCUCAGCAAGAAGGAAAUUCAGUGGCGCAUCUGCCCACAUUCUGGAAGGACCCCUGGUCCCCUUCUGUCAGCCCUCCCACCUGCCUCCCUCCUCGUGCCGCUCCUCUGAUCCCUCACUCCACUCCGGCUCCUGCGGCGCUGACGGAGCGGGGUGGGGGGAGUUGCUGCGUCUGGGGGUGUAAGAACCUUAGAUGUCACGGAGCUUGGAAUUGUGCCAACGGGCAGGCUGAAGGGGCCUUAAAGUGCUGCCAAGCCCUCCUCAUGCCACACCAGCUUCCCUGCAGAGCCAGGAGCCCAUGGCUGCGAUCAGAUGACUGCUUCCUGCGUCUAGCUUUUCUCAUUGCAGUUUUUUCCAGAUGGGGACCCCGAUGUCUGCCCUGUGGGCUGGAGCAGGCGGCGACUCUGUCCUGGCUGUGAGAUCUCCUCCACCGCCCCUGACUCCUACCCUGUCAGGCCCACCCCCAGUCUCUUAUCACCGCUGGAGGGGAAUCUGAGCAAUCCCCUACGGGGUGACAACCUGCAACUACAUGGCAUCGUGCACGUGGAUCCACUGCAGCAUGGAGCGGGGUCUGCAUCAGGAAAGACACUCCUCCUCUUCCCCCGGCCGCAGGCUGGAGUGCAGUGGCGUGAUCUCGGCUCGCUACAACCUCCAC
rnacentral:lncRNA from 1 species